GACCUCUGCAAUGGACAAAGAGACAUCUUGCUGGUGGUGUUCUUACAUAAGUCAGGGGAGAGCAGAUGGAAGUCCUUGCUUCAUCCUAGCUUGAUGCCUAGUUUGCUGGCCAAAGCUGUCUUAUACCUAGGAUGCAUGA
rfam:Mus musculus chromosome 12, GRC primary reference assembly.